rnacentral:rRNA from 1 species
GUGGGGAAUAUUGGACAAUGGGGGGAACCCUGAUCCAGCCAUGCCGCGUGUGUGAAGAAGGCCUUUUGGUUGUAAAGCACUUUAAGCGAGGAGGAGGCUACCGAGAUUAAUACUCUUGGAUAGUGGACGUUACUCGCAGAAUAAGCACCGGCUAACUCUGUGCCAGCAGCCGCGGUAAUACAGAGGGUGCGAGCGUUAAUCGGAUUUACUGGGCGUAAAGCGCGCGUAGGUGGUUAAUUAAGUCAAAUGUGAAAUCCCCGAGCUUAACUUGGGAAUUGCAUUCGAUACUGGUUAGCUAGAGUAUGGGAGAGGAUGGUAGAAUUCCAGGUGUAGCGGUGAAAUGCGUAGAGAUCUGGAGGAAUACCGAUGGCGAAGGCAGCCAUCUGGCCUAAUACUGACACUGAGGUGCGAAAGCAUGGGGAGCAAACAGGAUUAGAUACCCUGGUAGUCC